rnacentral:rRNA from 1 species
ACGGCUCAGUAACACGUCGAUAAUCUAACCUUAAGUCAGGAAUAACCUUGGGAAACUGAGGACAAAACUUGAUAGGGGAUAAGUAUUGGAAAAUCUUAUCCUUUAAACUCGUGCUUAAGGAUGGGUCGGCGGCGGAUUAGAUCGUUGGUGAGGUAAAGGCUCACCAAGUCGAAGAUCCGUAGAGGCCUUGAAAGAGGGAGCCUCGAGAAGGGCACUGAGAUACUGGCCCUAGCCCUACGGGGUGCAGCAGGCGCGAAACCUUUACAAUGCACGAAAGUGUGAUAAGGGAACCCAAAAUGCUUUACUUAGUAAAGCUUUUGCCAAGAGUAAAUAUCUUGGAGAAUAAGUGGUGGGUAAGACUGGUGCCAGCCGCCGCGGUAAUACCAGCGCCACGAGUGGGAACUACAAUUAUUGGGCCUAAAGCGUCCGUAGCCGGUUUAAUAAAUUUCUUGUGAAAUUGUUGAGCUUAACUUAACAAAAUGCAGGAAAGACUGUUAGACUAGGGACUGGGAGGGGUUAGAAGUAUGUUUAGGGUAGCGGUAAAAUGUUAUAAUCCUAAAUAGACUACCAAUGGCGAAGGCAUCUAACCAGAACAGGUCCGACGGUGAGGGACGAAAGCCAGGGGAGCAAACCGGAUUAGAUACCCGAGUAGUCCUGGCCGUAAACGCUGCGAGCAAGAUGUUGCAUAUUCUUCGUGAAUAUGCAGUAUCGAAGAGAAGUCGUUAAGCUCGCCGCCUGGGAAGUAUGGUCGCAAGACUGAAAACUUAAAGGAAUUGGCGGGGGAGCAC